rnacentral:rRNA from 1 species
AGCCAGACUCCUACGGGAGGCAGCAGUGGGGGAUAUUGCACAAUGGGGGGAACCCUGAUGCAGCGACGCCGCGUGGGUGAAGAAGCGCCUCGGCGCGUAAAGCCCUGUCAGCAGGGAAGAAAAUGACGGUACCUGAAGAAGAAGCCCCGGCUAACUACGUGCCAGCAGCCGCGGUAAUACGGAGGAUGCGAGCGUUAUCCGGAUUUAUUGGGUUUAAAGGGUGCGCAGGCGGAUUUUUAAGUCAGCGGUCAAAUCGUGGGGCUCAACCCCAUCCAGCCGUUGAAACUGGGGAUCUAGAGUGUGCGAGAGGUAUGCGGAAUGCGUGGUGUAGCGGUGAAAUGCAUAGAUAUCAGGAGGAACACCGGUGGCGAAGGCGGCCUGCUGGACUGCGACUGACGUUGAGGCCCGAAAGCGUGGGGAGCAAACAGGAUUAGAUACCCCCGUAU